rnacentral:rRNA from 1 species
ACCAUGCAAGUCGAACGGUGAACACGGAGCUUGCUCUGUGGGAUCAGUGGCGAACGGGUGAGUAACACGUGAGCAACCUGCCCCUGACUCUGGGAUAAGCGCUGGAAACGGCGUCUAAUACUGGAUAUGUGACGUGACCGCAUGGUCUGCGUCUGGAAAGAAUUUCGGUUGGGGAUGGGCUCGCGGCCUAUCAGCUUGUUGGUGAGGUAAUGGCUCACCAAGGCGUCGACGGGUAGCCGGCCUGAGAGGGUGACCGGCCACACUGGGACUGAGACACGGCCCAGACUCCUACGGGAGGCAGCAGUGGGGAAUAUUGCACAAUGGGCGCAAGCCUGAUGCAGCAACGCCGCGUGAGGGACGACGGCCUUCGGGUUGUAAACCUCUUUUAGCAGGGAAGAAGCGAAAGUGACGGUACCUGCAGAAAAAGCGCCGGCUAACUACGUGCCAGCAGCCGCGGUAAUACGUAGGGCGCAAGCGUUAUCCGGAAUUAUUGGGCGUAAAGAGCUCGUAGGCGGUUUGUCGCGUCUGCUGUGAAAUCCGGAGGCUCAACCUCCGGCCUGCAGUGGGUACGGGCAGACUAGAGUGCGGUAGGGGAGAUUGGAAUUCCUGGUGUAGCGGUGGAAUGCGCAGAUAUCAGGAGGAACACCGAUGGCGAAGGCAGAUCUCUGGGCCGUAACUGACGCUGAGGAGCGAAAGGGUGGGGAGCAAACAGGCUUAGAUACCCUGGUAG